rnacentral:rRNA from 1 species
UGGGGAAUAUUGCGCAAUGGGGGGAACCCUGACGCAGCCAUGCCCGCGUGAAUGAAGAAGGCCUUCGGGUUGUAAAGUUCUUUCGGUAUUGAGGAAGGUUGAUGUGUUAAUAGCACAUCAAAUUGACGUUAAAUACAGAAGAAGCACCGGCUAACUCCGUGCCAGCAGCCGCGGUAAUACGGAGGGUGCGAGCGUUAAUCGGAAUAACUGGGCGUAAAGGGCACGCAGGCGGUUAUUUAAGUGAGGUGUGAAAGCCCCGGGCUUAACCUGGGAAUUGCAUUUCAGACUGGGUAACUAGAGUACUUUAGGGAGGGGUAGAAUUCCACGUGUAGCGGUGAAAUGCGUAGAGAUGUGGAGGAAUACCGAAGGCGAAGCNAGCCCCUUGGGAAUGUACUGACGCUCAUGUGCGAAAGCGUGGGGAGCAAACAGGAUUAGAUACCCUGGUAGUCCACGCUGUAAACGCUGUCGAUUUGGGGGUUGGGGUUUAACUCUGGCGCCCGUAGCUAACGUGAUAAAUCGACCGCCUGGGGAGUACGGCCGCAAGNUA